rnacentral:rRNA from 1 species
UACGGAGGUUGCAAGCGUUGUUCGGAAUUACUGGGCGUAAAGGGAGCGCAGGCGGUCGGGUCUGUCUGAAGUGAAAGCCCGUGGCUUAACCACGGAAGUGCUUUGGAUACUACCCGGCUUGAGUACGCGAGAGGAGAGCGGAAUUCCAGGUGUAGCGGUGAAAUGCGUAGAUAUCUGGAGGAACACCGGUGGCGAAAGCGGCUCUCUGGCGCGUUACUGACGCUCAGGCUCGAAAGCGUGGGUAGCAAACAGG